UGCGGAAGGAUCAUUGUUGAGAGAGCAUAGAAUGACGGAUGAUUGUGAACGUGUGAAUGCGCCCCUUUCCUUGCCCCCCAUGUCGGCGGGCAUUGACCGUAGCUCGGUGCGAUCCGCACUAAGGAACAAUGAACUCAGAAGCAGACGGCCUCCCGGCGUGCGCAAGGGAGAGCCCGAUGCGUCGGAGAUUUUUCGGAAUCAAAUGACUCUCGGCAAUGGAUAUCUCGGCUCUUGCAUCGAUGAAGAACGUAGUGAAAUGCGAUACUUGGUGUGAAUUGCAGAAUCUCGUGAACCAUUGAGUCUUUGAACGCAAGUUGUGCCCGAGGCCUUGUGGCCGAGGGCACGCCUGCUUGGGCGUCAUGACAUCGUCGCCUUCGCUCCAUGCGUGGUUGGCGUGAGCGCGGAAAUUGGCCCCGUGUGCCCUAGGGCACAGUCGGUCGAAGAGCGGGCAGUCGGCAAUCGUCGGGCACGAUGGGCGUUGGUCGCCGUGAGCGGGAACAGAACAUCGUCCUCGUCGUUUUGGGACGAGCCCUGGACAGAGACCCUGUGCGAUUGCGACAUCGGACGAAAGCGCCGUGUCCAUCCAUCUAAUUGUGGCCCCAAGUCAGGCG
rnacentral:rRNA from 1 species